rnacentral:rRNA from 1 species
AACGAACGCUGGCGGCAGGCUUAACACAUGCAAGUCGAACGCCCCGCAAGGGGAGUGGCAGACGGGUGAGUAACGCGUGGGAAUCUACCGUACCCUACGGAAUAACGCAUGGAAACGUGUGCUAAUACCGUAUACGCCCUACGGGGGAAAGAUUUAUCGGGGUAUGAUGAGCCCGCGUUGGAUUAGCUAGUUGGUGGGGUAAAGGCCUACCAAGGCGACGAUCCAUAGCUGGUCUGAGAGGUUGAUCAGCCACAUUGGGACUGAGACACGGCCCAAACUCCUACGGGAGGCAGCAGUGGGGAAUAUUGGACAAUGGGCGCAAGCCUGAUCCAGCCAUGCCGCGUGAGUGAUGAAGGCCCUAGGGUUGUAAAGCUCUUUCACCGGUGAAGAUAAUGACGGUAACCGGAGAAGAAGCCCCGGCUAACUUCGUGCCAGCCGCCGCAGUAAGAC